CGCAUCGCUGGCGGGGCGGGCGCCAAGGUUGGGAGUUUUGGCCAGCCGUUCCAGCGGUUGAGUGGCGGAUCUUUCCACCAGUGUGA
rnacentral:tRNA from 1 species